rnacentral:tRNA from 1 species
GCGCUCGUAGUUCAAUUGGCAGAACAGCGGUCCUCUAAACCGUAAGCUAUCGAAGGCAAUGGUUGUAGGUUCGAGUCCUACCGGGCGCGCCA